UAGGCGGAUGCUCGCUGGUUAGAGCGCUUAGCUGUUAACUAAGAGUUUGUAGGAUCGAGGCCUCCCGCCUAG
rnacentral:tRNA from 1 species